rnacentral:rRNA from 1 species
AUGGAGGACAAGGGGGCGGCUGCGCCGGCGGUGCUGGAGAAGGAGGCGCAGGCGGUGGCGGCGACGUCGUGCUUCAAGAGGACGGUGGGCGAGGACGCGUCGCUGUUGGAGCUGGCCAAGGACCAGUACCGGCAGUUCGCGGAGGCGCAGGGGAGGGACCACUGGGAGUGCAUCAAGAACAAGGUCAGCUCCAUGUUCGUCGACCCCAUCUUCAGCGGCUUCAAGCCCGACUCCACCGCCAACACGCCGCCGCCGCCGUCCGUCGAGUCGCAGUAG